GGGCGGUUAGCUCAGCUGGUUAGAGCGUUGCCUUGACAUGGCAGAGGUCGGAGGUUCGAGUCCUCUACCGCCCACCA
rnacentral:tRNA from 1 species